CCCACAUGCUGAUGAGUUUGACCUUGAACAAGCUGAAUCUCGUGAUCAUAAGAGGUGGAUGGAGAGGCAGAAUGCGAAACUGUCAGAGAAGGCUAGAAAAGAAGAAGUAGCUAGGGUACGCACACUUGUUGACAAUGCCUAUAAGAGAGACCCUAGAAUCCUGGGAAGAAAAGAAGGAAGAAGAAGAAGACAUAUUUUCAGAAAUUGUAAGAAGUAGCUAGGGUACGCACACUUGUUGACAAUGCCUAUAAGAGAGACCCUAGAAUCCUGGGAAGAAAAGAAGCAGAGAAAGCAGAGAAGCAGAAAAAGAAGGAAGCUAAACUUCUGGCAAAGAAAUUACAGGAGGAAGAAGCAGCUAGGAUUGCUGAGGAGGAAAAGC
rnacentral:lncRNA from 1 species